UACGUAGGGUGCGAGCGUUAAUCGGAAUACUGGGCGUAAAGCGUGCGCAGGCGGUGAUGUAAGACAGGUGUGAAAGCCCCGGGCUCAACCUGGGAAUGGCAUUGGAAACUGGCGAGCUAGAGUGUGGCAGAGGGGGGUGGAAUUCCGCGUGUAGCAGUGAAAUGCGUAGAGAUGCGGAGGAACACCGAUGGCGAAGGCAGCCCCCUGGGCUGACACUGACGCUCAGGCACGAAAGCGUGGGGAGCAAACAGG
rnacentral:rRNA from 1 species